ensembl:lncRNA
GCAAGGUGAAUCCUUUGAAGAAGAAAAGGAUGGAUCUUGCUCCUGAACAACCUGAGCUCCAGUCCAAGGAGAAGCCGGUUAAAAAGAGGAGAAGAAUGACAGAAGAGAAGGAUGUGAAGACUGAAAAGACAGAGACCUGUGUAGAGGCACCCUGCCCUGUCAAUAGAAGAGUAAGCAAGGUGAAUCCUUUGAAGAAGAAAAGGAUGGAUCUUGCUCCUGAACAACUUGAACUCCAGAUCAAGGAGAAGCCAGUUAAAAAGAGGAGAAGAAUGACAGAAGAGAAGGAUGUGAAGACUGAAAGACAGAGACCUGUGUAGAGGCACCCUGCCCUGUCAAUAGAAGAGUAAGCAAGGUGAAUCCUUUGAAGAGGAAAGGAUGGAUCUUGCUCUUGAACAACCUGAACUCCAGCCCAAGGAGAAGCCAGUUAAAAAUAGGAGAAGAGAGACAAAAGAGAAGGAUGUGAAGACUGAAAGGACAGCAACCUGUGUAGAGGCAUCCUGCUCUAUCAAUAGAAGAGUAAGCAAGGUGAAUCCUUUGAAGAGGAAAAGGAUGGAUGCUCCUCCUGAAGGACCCGAGCCCCAGCCUAAGGAGCAGAAAAGGGCUGAAAAGAUGAGGAGAACAGAGACAGAAGAGAACAAUGUGAAGACGAAAAAGAGAGCAAACAUUUUCAGUCGCUACACUCUGGGAAAGCGGCUGGGAGAAGGAGCGUUCGCUUUCGUGUAUGCAGGUGUUCGAAAAUCAGAUAGAAAAAAGGUGGCCCUGAAAUUCAUUUACAGGUCUAGAGUUGACCCAUACAUCACCCUUCCUGGCGACACACGCAGACUCCCU